UUCUGUUACUCUGACUAGGGCUGAUUACGGACUGAUUACGAGAUGAGUAUCGACAAUGGCAAGCAGCAAAACAACAAACAUCAUCCUCAUCUAUUGGUCUGUAUUUCUAUAUAAAUAGAGUACAUAGAUUGAGAAGGUUAUCAAGCCAUUAUUCUACAAAAUUCUACUCUUCUUCCUAUUUCACAAAGCUAACCAGUCGGCACAACUAUUAGUCUCUCAAAAAACAUGAGAAUGACAGUCCAAUCCAACUGCAAAAAGCUUUUACAGUGACAAAAAUAGCCCUGCACAAAACAGGAACCUCCAAUGGGCCCUCGUAAUAGAAAUAAUCUCCGAACAAUCACAUUCCACGAUAACCCUGUUCACACCCUGCAGCUAAUACAUGCGCCAUUGCAUAAGAAUGCCAGCAUUGCAAACAAUGGAAAUAUUUUGCUAAGGGCUCCCACCAGUAUAGGAGAAGAUACUAGAAAUGCUUUGUUAGGAAAAAGAAAUUGGGAAGACAGCCAGCCUUCAGUCAUUCUUUUUGGCUCCAGUAAUUUUUUGCGACAUAUCAGAUUUCAGUUUGCACCCAAAAGACACAGCUUCCAAAAACUUAGCAUCAAUUGCUUGUUCAUGUUUCUCGUAAAUAGAGAAUGCCAUAAAAGCAACAGGAAGUCCUAUAAUAAAGAAACUCUGAAAUUUAAUGGCUCCAAUGAAGCUAAGAAUCAAGAGCAACAGAACAACCUUAAGGAACAGCAUCCAGUCAUUCCCCUUGCAAAGAAAUUUUAAGACAUUAACAGAAGCAUUCCAUGAUGAAGCCACUGAAAGAGCAACUUGGUGAGACUUAUCUUCUGACAAGUGGAAAUAUGAUACUGGAAUUUUUUCAAUUGUAUAUCCAAAUAUUCUCUCUGGUAAAUUUCCAUGGACAAACAGGAAGACUGAUACCACCAACAGAAGCUUUGAAAGCGCAUUAAUUAUGGUAGACUGAGAUGCAACAAAGUUGUAGUAAAUUGCAAUUAGAAUUAACAAUGUCAUCAGUGUCUGCCUUUUAUCCUUCCAAAGUAGUGUGUCAGCGACCCUUCCACCUCCAAGACAUCUGUGAGCCUUAGAUGGUCCUUCUCUUUUCGGUUGAUUAUCGGCCCUCAAGUGCGUAAAUGACUCUAGAGUCCUUUUCAAACCUUCCUCAAGUGAUAUGAUGGGCGCGUAGCCAAGUCGGUCCUUUGCUUUUGAACAACUAAAUGAUCUGCUACAAGAGAGGAGUCUAAUUCUUGAAGGUAUCAACUGUGGAACCUUCAUCCCAUAUGGGCCCAAUAGCUUAUAUGUCCACUCCACUACAUGUGCUAAUGGCAUCAUAGCAAAAGCAGGGAUCUUUAUCCUUGGCCUCUCAUAGCCAAGACCUCCCACCACAAGUGAGGUAAACUCCCAGAACUUAAUGGGCUCCAUGUUAGUUAUAAAAUAAGCCUGCAAAUCAAAUUCUCUUAGCCACAAGCAGGUCCAGAUUUCCCACGUUAGCAUGCAAUAUUACAUUGUGAAAGCAAGAGUCAACUUCAUUCAACAAAAAUUAGUAAAGAACAAAACAUUAAGGGACCAGAUGAACCGGUCAUCCAGUUACUUCUUUUACGCGUGUUUAAAAAAACCAGACAUGAAUUCACUUGACAGUUUAUGUCUCAAGAAACUUUAAACAUCUUCCACGUACCAGCAUUUCCCUUGAGAGAUUUCAGAGUCCAGAUUAGCAUAAAGCGUGUAGCACAAACUAUCCUCAACAAAGUAAUAUGCUAAAGCAUCAAAGUUUAAUUAUUUAAUUUUUUUACUCAUAUCACCAUUGAAUCUAUGAACUAAACGUUGAAAGAUGAUGUCCUUUAGAUGACAGGAAACAAACCCUCUCAAACAUUUCCACAUGGCUUCAAAUGAAGCAUGCAUAUCCAAUUGCCACUGGAGUGAAGAAUUCAAACAGCAAUUGGUCAAUGACACUAUAUUCCAAUGAAACACAGUGAAGAAAGGUAAAAUUAGACAACCAAUGAGAAUGUGACACAUAGAGGUUGACAAGUCAAACCACACCUUUUUGAACAUGCAAAGAAGUUGAGAGAUAAAGAGAGCAGCGUUAGGCAAAGCGAUGAUAAUAAAGAGCUAGGUCGAAUGGCCGACAAUUGAGAUGGCCAAGUCAAACAGAUACCAACUGAGCCAACUGAGCUUAUUAAGUCGAAUGGAGACCGACUGACUCCUCCAGGUCAACUCAACACCAUCUGGUAUACAUAAAAGAGUCUGCAUUCAAUAUUUGAUAGGGACAGGACGCAUACUAACUGCCCAUCCUUCUAACAAAUCUACUGAAAGAGGUUUGCCAGACCAUGCUUAUCUCAUUGACACCAAAUAACCCUACUGAUGCCCGUAGAUAGCUUCUCAUGAUAACUUAUCUAGUGGGUCCACUUUCGAUGACUAUUUAAAGAACAAUCCUCAAGACAAGUAGGUUUCUUCUGAAGAAAUACAACACUCUCUUAAUUCUAUAUUUUCUGUUUACCUCCUUCCUUUUCAUUCUUCUUAUCUCUAUUAAAGCUAGAACUAACUAAGCAUUAGAGUUUCCCUGCCAGAUUACACCUAGAUCACUCUAUAGCUUUUCCCUUUCCUUAUUGCAGGCCAUUCUGGCAGAAAGAUUGGUAUUCAUCACAUAGAGUCUCACGCAACCUUUGCCAAUCUAAAAUGUACCAUACAAGAAUAUCGUGCACUACAAUCUUCAUCCUGUAUGUACACAGGGUGACAAAAACUUUUAAGUGGCUUUAUCAUUGUAGCCCUAACUUCAGCAACUUCAGCCCAUGAAAACUUAAUGAUUUUGAUUUACUAGCCAGUAUAUGCCCUUUUCAUUAUUUUCAUAGAAAAUAUAGAUAGGCCAAAGAAACCUCUUGGUCUGUCUUAGUAACGCAGAAUAGGAAGAUGAUAUUCCU
rnacentral:misc_RNA from 1 species